ensembl:piRNA 21ur-9124 ncRNA
UUAUGUUCUACAAUGACAUCA